rnacentral:tRNA from 1 species
GUCAAUUUGGCCGAGUGGUUAAGGCGAUAGACUUGAAAUCUAUUGGGCAUUGCCCGCGCAGGUUCGAACCCUGCAGUUGACG